rnacentral:rRNA from 1 species
GACGAACGCUGGCGGCGUGCCUAAUACAUGCAAGUAGAACGCUGAAGGAGGAGCUUGCUUCUCUGGAUGAGUUGCGAACGGGUGAGUAACGCGUAGGUAACCUGCCUGGUAGCGGGGGAUAACUAUUGGAAACGAUAGCUAAUACCGCAUAAGAGUAGAUGUUGCAUGACAUUUGCUUAAAAGUUGCAAUUGCAUCACUACCAGAUGGACCUGCGUUGUAUUAGCUAGUUGGUGGGGUAACGGCUCACCAAGGCGACGAUACAUAGCCGACCUGAGAGGGUGAUCGGCCACACUGGGACUGAGACACGGCCCAGACUCCUACGGGAGGCAGCAGUAGGGAAUCUUCGGCAAUGGACGGAAGUCUGACCGAGCAACGCCGCGUGAGUGAAGAAGGUUUUCGGAUCGUAAAGCUCUGUUGUAAGAGAAGAACGAGUGUGAGAGUGGAAAGUUCACACUGUGACGGUAUCUUACCAGAAAGGGACGGCUAACUACGU